rnacentral:rRNA from 1 species
UACGUAGGCAGCGAGCGUUGUUCGGAAUUACUGGGCGUAAAGAGUGUGUAGGCGGUGCUCUAAGUUCGGUGUGAAAUCUCCCGGCUUAACUGGGAGGGUGCGCCGGAAACUGGAGUGCUCGAGCGUGGGAGAGGAAAGCGGAAUUCCCGGUGUAGCGGUGAAAUGCGUAGAUAUCUGGAGGAACACCGAUGGCGAAGGCAGGUCUCUGGGCUGAAACUGACGCUCAUGCACGAAAGCGUGGGGAGCAAACAGG